UGUUUUUUUAUUGUGUAUUGGGAGUAAUUGAUUUGCACUGCUUGAUACAGUUCCUAUCUGGCUUCAUACGGUUCUCACAACACAGAUUCUCAUUUUAUUUUGUUGUGCAAUAGUACCACAAGACUGGAGCAGCCUCUGUAGUCUUUAAAUGCACUUCAUUCAUAACGCACAGUCAAAUCAUGACAACUCCCACUGCAGGAUAUACAAUUGGAAUAUUUUU